AAUACAAGAUGCCCAGUUCAAUUUGAAUUUCAGAUAAAUAACAGUAUUUUGCUGUGAGUAUGUCUCAUGCAAUAUUUGGGACAUACUUAUACUAAAACAUCAUUUCUUGUUUGUCUGAAAUUCAAAUUGAACUGGGUGUCCUAUAUUUU
rnacentral:miRNA from 1 species